GUAAAAGUUUGAAACUGGUUUCCAGGAUUAUUCACUCCAUCUCCUCCCUAGGGAGUGAUGUGAGACUUUACCAGUAUAUUCUUCUCUAGAUCCUGCUGGUCACUUUUCAUGAAGAAAAGUGACCAUUCAUGAAGAAAAGUGAUUUGCUGUCUCCUCCAUAGCUUUCUCUGGUCUUCACAAUCUUUCACAAGACAACUGAGAGCAGUCUUGUGGUGACAUAGGCCAGCUUCUUCAGAACAUGUGGCUACAUCUUACCUGGAUUUGUGGACAAGUAUAGGUCCAGCUUGUUCUAGUGCUCCAUAACUGAUCCUCCUUCACCAAGGGAGCAACAAUCUCCUCUUGGGGUUGUAGGACUGUAAUCUUAGGUGCCUGGCGUUCCUGAAGACAAGUCUCACCAGUAAACGCUGAGGUGGAGGAAGUGAUUAGUACCCCUGUCUUUUCUCUAUCCUUUGUCAUCAGCUACCCUACUCCACACACCAUCUGGUCCAUAUUUUCCUCAGUCUUCUUUUGCUGCUGGUGUCUGUUUAUAAAACUUUCUUGCUGCCCUCCAAAUUCAGAGCUUUAGACUGUUUUUUAAACUAUCUGAGGGAAAAUCAUUGCUGUCUUUUCUUAAAAACUUUUAAUUAAAGAAAAUAUGUAAUGGUGCUGUUUAAUCAGAGGUUACAUUACAGUUGAUUCAUAUCAAUUACAAUGCAGUUUUUAGUUGAGAUUUUAGCUUUAGAAUGGUUUGUGUUGGAAGGAACUUUAAAGAUUGUCUAGAGCCAACCCUAUUGCCAUGGGCAGGGACACCUUCCACUAGACCAGGUUGCUUAGAGCCCCAUCCAAUCUGGGCUUGAACACUUCAAGAGAUGGAGCAACUUCUGUGGGCAACUGGUUCUGGUGCCUCACAACCCUCACAGUUGAACAAUCCCAGUUCUCCCAGCCUUUCCUUCUAGGAGAUGUGUUCCAUCCUUCUAAUCAACUUGGUGUCCUGCCUCUGAACUUGAUCCAGCAGGUUGGUGACCUUCCUCUGCUCAGAAUAAUUCCAAAACAAUACAUUAAAGCUUUAAUCUCAGAGUUUAUGUGAGAUAGUCAGUUUAUGUCCAUGGGAGGACAACGGACACUCCACAUAAACAGAACUGAAAGUUGGCUGAUGAUGUUUCAGUCACCUAUUUCUCUUUAAAAAUACAUGUUUUCUGAACAGUCUCUAGUUAGUCAAGCACUUAAGUGCCCAGGUAUGCAUCAAGAAUGUGUAAGCUGGCCUACUGUUGCAGGGCCUCCUGGCAGAAGAACACAUAUACAUCUUUCUCAUAGUGGACUCUAGUAAGGAGAUGUGGCAAAUUUCUAGCUUUGGAGCAUUGAGUCAGAUUAUUUUCUAUUCUAACAUGAUUAUUUUGCAUAUGUUGAAUUUUUUUUGGCUUGUUAAUGCAUGUCUUGAUGAUUCAAGGGAGUUUCCACUAAAAUUGGUUCUUGUUCAAUGUUCCUUUUUAUAGAUGCUCAGUUGUAACUGUAAACUAUCUUAGUGUAUGGUCUCGUUGACAGGUAUCCAGAGGCUGUGAUCUUUAAGUCUUGCUUUUUUUUAACUGAGAGAUCACACAGAAAAAGAUUGUGAGCAUUGGAUCAUGUUUAAAUGUGUAACUUGUAUUAAUAUUCUGCUUUUAUUUUCUAAGCCCAGAAAGAAUCUUGACCAAUAAUAUGUUAAUAUUUCAUUUACUGGUUUUAAGUUACUAUUCCUCUUUUCUAAGCUAUUACUGUAAAACUGAGGUUAUUAUUAAUGGAAUGUAUGUAGCAGUAUUUGUUGUGUUCUGUUGCUGAGGGAGUAAAAUAGAAGCAGGAAACAGUUAUCACUACAAACUUAAAAAGCAGGCUUGAGCCCAACUCAGUUAAGAAUGGCACACUAUCCUCAAAAACAGUCUCUUUUUACAAAUAGAGCUAGUAAAUAUAUUUACACGUAUAAUAUUUUGCAAGUUAAUAAGACUUAGUAUAGUAAUGAGUGGUGAGAAGUCACAAAAAGCAGCUGUUGGAGAGACAAGGAGUGAUUUCUCCUAUGUCCUGGUAUCUCCAGCUCAUGUUUUUUGCCUCUGUAACCUUAUUCUAUGAAAAAAGAAUGUUAGACAUCUGGUAGGGUUGUGUUGAUCAUAAAAUUCCUCAAUAAAUCCUUUAUUUCUAGUAAAAUUUUUUUUUUAUAAACAAUAAUUUCUCAAGACAUUUUAAAACAAUCUGUAAUUAAGAGCCAAUGCCCAUGGAAUAAAAUGUUAUCAUCGGUUAA